rnacentral:rRNA from 1 species
ACGGCCACACCUAGGUGAAAACACCAGUUCCCGUCCGAUCACUGCAGUUAAGUGAAACGUCUGAGGGUCUCGUUAGUACUAUGGUUGGAGACAACAUGGGAAUCCGGGGUGCUGUAGGCU